UCAACAAAGUCUGUAAUGUUGGAGUGCCC
rnacentral:piRNA from 1 species